UACAGAGGUCUCAAGCGUUGUUCGGAUUCAUUGGGCGUAAAGGGUGCGUAGGUGGCGCCGUAAGUCGGGUGUGAAAUUUCGGAGCUUAACUCCGAAACUGCAUUCGAUACUGCGGUGCUUGAGGACUGGAGAGGAGACUGGAAUUCAUGGUGUAGCAGUGAAAUGCGUAGAGAUCAUGAGGAAGACCAGUGGCGAAGGCGGGUCUCUGGGCCGAUACUGACGCUGAGGAGCGAAAGCGUGGGGAGCGAACGGG
rnacentral:rRNA from 1 species